GGGGCUGGUGGCGAUGCGGUUCCUGGAGGAAUUUCGGGAUCACCGGGGGUCCGAGCGCGGAUCCUGCGUCGCGUCACACUAGUCUACGAUCGUACGCGAAGUGGUGUGGCACGCACGUCGCUGAAGCCGAGCGAGUGGUCUUGGGGAAUUCACGCAGGAGAGGAGUCACCCCGCCAGGUGUCCUCAUAUUCAAUAACAUUGGAUUUUAAAGCACAACUGUUACCACGACAAAGACUCGAACGUCAUCGCCAUUAAUUCGCGAUAAUAAUCCAAUCAUUUAGUGUGCUGCCCCUACCGGCCAGAAAAUGCCACAACCGGACCACGAAACGAAAAACCUUCUGAUGACGUAUUUGAUCCUUAUUCUCCUAUUGAUCUCGCUCUGGUUACUAUACUCGGGGAUGUUUUAAUAAACACGGCACAUUCCUCAUCAUGGGCUGAAGAACAAUGAGAACACGUGUCGCACGCGGGGGACUCAGGAUCGCCAUGGACAUCUCGUUUGAAGCUCAUCGGUUCUCUCGCCAUCACUUAUCGUACUUUCUACAACUUAGGUGCCUUGGAGAUACGUUCCGCGCAAAUCGCUUCCCCAUUGUUCGGCAGUCGAUCUCCGCACUGAAGAGAAAUACUUGAACAUUUAUUUGUGGGAUACAAAGCUUAUUUCUGUGAAAUAAAGUUUAUACCCACGUGACGUCUACUUCUACGAAAAUAAACUUUAUAUCCUGCAAAUAGAUUUUUUAGCAUUUCUUUUUCAAUGCGCGACCAAGACCACCGCUCGCUUCCGUCGUUUCCCCGCUCGCUUCCGUCGUUUCAGAAUGAUUCCGGGGGAAACGCGGGGGACAGAGAAGCGAGGACGCCCACCGCGAAGACGGCCUCGUCGCUUUUUCGAUUUCUCGCGGUCGCAGAAAUCGGCUGCCUCGCUGAAAAUAACUUUCUAGUUACACGUUACGCUAAUUAAUCUCUUCUUAGACGAGGAAUGGCGGCGGCCACGAGCCGAUACUCAUUGUUCACGAGGGCGCCUUCGCGUUUGCCGAUUCACCGCGUCGUCGUUGUCAACUGAACCCAUUCGGGAGAAAUCGCCGAUCGUCAAUAAAUUAUAAUCGCCAAGGACAGUCCCCCCCGAAGCGGCCGUCGUCGCGUUGGGCCGCCGUCACUCCUUGUUAUCUUCGGUCCCACGAUAUAUGUCACGCGUUUCCUUCGCAGAUUUGCUCGCACUGUAUCUUCGACGAUAGCACAGACGACGAAAUAAAUCUCUUGGUUCGGAAU